GGCGAACCGGGGGAACUGAAACAUCUAAGUACCCCGAGGAAAAGAAAUCAACCGAGAUUCCCCCAGUAGCGGCGAGCGAACGGGGAGGAGCCCAGAGCCUGAAUCAGCAUGUGUGUUAGUGGAAGCGUCUGGAAAGGCGCGCGAUACAGGGUGACAGCCCCGUACACAAAAGCGCAUGUGCUGUGAGCUCGAUGAGUAGGGCGGGACACGUGGUAUCCUGUCUGAAUAUGGGGGGACCAUCCUCCAAGGCUAAAUACUCCUGACUGACCGAUAGUGAACCAGUACCGUGAGGGAAAGGCGAAAAGAACCCCGGCGAGGGGAGUGAAAAAGAACCUGAAACCGUGUACGUACAAGCAGUGGGAGCCCCACCACUAAGCCAGUGGUGAACUCCACAUACGCAUCCUUUGCUGAGGAUACGGUUAACGGAGCGAAAGCGACGUUCAACCUCAA
rnacentral:rRNA from 1 species